GCCAUGGAGAACUGUGAAAGGAAGAAUCUCUGCUUUUCUCAAGCAAAUCGGUUUCUUGAUGCCUUUUCGUUCUCACUCCUUGCCUGCUUCUGAUGCUUUGACCACUUUUAUAGAAACCAUAGAUGUAAAGGUGAAGAGUGUCGGCAAAUACACUUUCUGCCAUGUGGAAAAAGCUGGCCUGCAGUGAAAGGGAGAAAUACAGCAGACACACAUGGAGACUCUGAGGCAAGAAACAAAGACCUUUCAAGAAGUAUUAAGGAAGCCAGAUCUCAUGCCUUACAGCACAGUGGGAAGAACCACUGCCUCCCAUUGGUUUGGAGGUGGAGGGUUGAAUGUGUGCAACAGAGCUGCUGUGAAUCCUGCCAUGGAGGCAUAUGUAAGAUGUGCUGAAGCCUUGCCUUCACCACAAGGGACACUGAGCCAGCUGCCUGCGUGAAAGAUAAGUAAUACUGGUGGUUAAGCUGUAAUAGAAAUUCAGUUGAUGAGACAAGAUCGAAGUUCUGCCAUUGAAUACUCCUUGAACUUGGAACUCUUCUGAAUAGGCCCAAAGGAAGAUAACUUUGACUAUAUAAACUACUUUUGGUCAUUACAGUCUCACUCUGUCAUCCAGGCUGGAGUGCAGAGGUGUGAUUUUGGCUCACUGCAACCUCUCCUUCCUGGGUUCAAGCGAUUCUCCUGCCUCAGCCUCCUGAGUAGCUGGGAUUACAGGAAGACCACUCAGCACAGAGGACUGUUCCCAAAUAGGGAAAAAUGGGAGGCAGCCAGCAGACACGUGCCUUCUCAUAUGAUGGAGUGUGGUGACUCUUCUCUGCUGCUCUGUGUUUACACAGCCAACUCUCAGGCAGGAUUCUCAACUGGACCAUACAAUGUGAACAUGGCAGAGGUACCCUAUUGACCAGGCACGGUGGCUGAUGCCUGUAAUCCCAGCACUUUGGAAGGCCGAGGAUGCCUCAGGUGGAGAAGUCAUGUUAAGCAACUUGCAAUACCGGGGACUGAAGAAAGCUGAGAACCUGACAGCUCCAUGUUUCAAUUUGGAAAAUGAUAGGUAAGGAAAAUGAAGCUCAAUGAAGUCACAUUCACAAAGUAGGAAAAAGCGUAUGUGUCUCUUCAUGCCAAAUUUAGCAUAAUAGAACUGCUAUGUGACCUUAGUUAUGUUGCCAGUUUCCUUUAUGAUCAAAUUUUCUCAUCUGGAUACUGGGGAUGAAAACAGUAGUUGCCUCACAAAACAGUAUAUCAGUUAGGAUACCUUCAACUACCAAUACCAGAAUGGUGGUUUAACUAACGUAGACAUUGAUUAUUUUUCACUCCGAUGGCUUAAAGAUACAUGGUUCUAGGUUUAACUCUGCAGCCCAACAUCGUCAUCAUAGUCCCAGAGUUAUUUUAUCUGUUCACUGUGUCAUUAUCAGGGUGUUUAUGACAUCUUCCAGUCUGCCCACAUAGAGCAUCAUACAAAUCAUACAAGCAUCAUGCCCAUAUACCUUGUAGGAAAGGGCUGUACUGCAUAUCAUCCAUUUGCUCUUUUGCUCUUCCAGAUCCCCCCUCCCUUUUUAUUUUUUAUUUUUUUGGACACAGAGUCUCGCUCUGUCAUCCAGACUGGAGUGCAGUGGCACAAUCUUGGCUCACUGCAACCUCUGCCUCCUGGGUUCAAGCAAUUUUCCCAUCUCAGCCUCCCAAAUAGCUGGGACUACAGGCACACACCACCACGCCUGACCGAUUUUUGCACUGUUUAGUUGGGAUUUCACCAUGUUGACCAGGCUGGUCUCAAACUUCUGGGCUCAAGUGAUCCGCUGCCUCAGCCUCCCAAAGUACUGGAAUUACAGGCCUGAGCUACCACCUCUGGCCCCAGAUCCUCUCUUGACCCUUCUCUACCCAUUCUGUACCACAGGAGGGUGACUGGAAUGGACUACUUCUAACUGUGACUGAUUUCUGAUUCAUUUUAGCUAAUGAAAUCAUGAGUUUAAAAGUAGAAAGGCAAGUGGUGUUGGGAUAUUUAUUUCUCAUUCCUUCCUCCUUGCCAGGUCAUGUGGGUUGGAUGUUAACAGCCCCCUCAACACAGCUAUUCUUACCGGGAACUAAACACUGGGCCCUCCUUUGCUGCUUCACAGCAGCUCUUUUCUUGAAAACCUCCGGUUACUUCACUAUCUCUUGUUCAUAAUAGAUUAUUUAAAAAACUAUAUUACUUACUAUGCCAAUGAUUUUGUGCUACUUAUACUGGGUUGUUCUAUAUCUAUAUAUAUCUAUAUCUAUAUAGUCUUAGAGGCUAUUACUUAAGCAAUUUCUUCUCAAAUGAUUCACAAUUAAGAAGAGUUACCUAAAUUCUCAUAAAAUAGCCAUGAAUAGACAUAAGACAGUUUUACACCAUUAGAAGCAGUAACAGGCAACCAAAUUAUAGAACCAGAGAUAAUUCACAGUUAACUAUGAGAUAGAUUUAUUCUGUAUAUACAGAUAGAUAUAGAUCUAUCUAUAUCUUUCUAUCAAAAGCCAGAGAGAGAGAGAUAACUCCUGGAAUUUAUACUUCAUAAUAUAAAAUAAAGACCACCUAAAAUGCAAAAUGAGCUUUAUCGUUAUCCAUCAUUAGCCCUGUGAUUCCAAUCUUUAGGUCCUACACAAAUUUAAAACUAGAUUGCCCACCAACUUUUUUGAAGAGUAGCUUUAUAAAGUAGAGUACUAUUUAACUCAUUCUAGUUGCCUUUAAAACUGGUAGCAACAUACUUUUCUGUCCCUGUUUUAAACACUACUAUUACCAGGCAAAAGCAACUUAGCAAUUUGCGUUAAACAACUCUUGUUAUCAGAAGACUGGGAAAAAUAAUUAAAAUAGCAUAUUUUUUAAGUCCAAGAACUUGCUCAUCAUCAAGACUUGCUUCAAGACUCACCUUGCCACAUCCACUAGGUUAAAGCUACUAUCUUGUAAAUUUCUUAACGAUAACCAGUUUUAUACCUUACAACAUCCACCUUAAAGUCCUUCACUCCAGUCCUUAAGACCCCAUGAGUGUACUCCCCUGACCUUACCCCUCUCAGUCACUACUAAGAUUCAGUCAAUAUGGUGUUCUCUUUCAUUGCAGUGGGUCUAAUAAACUUAGUUUUGUGUGAUCAAUAUUUUUUUCUGGUGAAUUUUUGUGGGGGAGGGCAUGGUGUCAAUAUUUGACAGCCUUCUCCUUACUCUAAGCAGUGCUAGCAUCUUAGUCCACCAAGAUGGAGACUGUAAAUCCUAGAAUAAAAGUGCACAAGAAGUAAGGAUUUUGAGGGGUUGGAUCAAUACAUUCUGUGGUUUUAGAUUUUGUGAGUGGGUCAAGUACAGUAGGGAGUGUUGGUUAGAAAAAUAACCAGUGUAGCAGUUUACAUGUGUUUGAAAGUACAGGUUUUCAUGUAUUAACAUUGUCUCAGAGCAUCAAACCAAAAAGAGCUCAGGGAUAGGAUGAAAAUACAACUCUAAUAUGUUUUACUAGAAAAAGAGAAUCAGACUAAGAUAUGUGUACCUCAACCUGAUUUCAAAGUGUAGAUCUAAAAGAGGUACUAACCUACCCACUGAGUGGCAUAUAAACAGAGGGAUCUGCAAUACUCUUACACUUUUCUGACACAUACCUAUUGAGCUUAGAUUCA
rnacentral:lncRNA from 1 species